rnacentral:rRNA from 1 species
AGGCCUAACACAUGCAAGUCGAGCGGUAGCACAGAGAGCUUGCUCUCGGGUGACGAGCGGCGGACGGGUGAGUAAUGUCUGGGAAACUGCCUGAUGGAGGGGGAUAACUACUGGAAACGGUAGCUAAUACCGCAUAACGUCGCAAGACCAAAGUGGGGGACCUUCGGGCCUCAUGCCAUCAGAUGUGCCCAGAUGGGAUUAGCUAGUAGGUGGGGUAACGGCUCACCUAGGCGACGAUCCCUAGCUGGUCUGAGAGGAUGACCAGCCACACUGGAACUGAGACACGGUCCAGACUCCUACGGGAGGCAGCAGUGGGGAAUAUUGCACAAUGGGCGCAAGCCUGAUGCAGCCAUGCCGCGUGUGUGAAGAAGGCCUUCGGGUUGUAAAGCACUUUCAGCGGGGAGGAAGGCGGUGAGGUUAAUAACCUCACCGAUUGACGUUACCCGCAGAAGAAGCACCGGCUAACUCCGUGCCAGCAGCCGCGGUAAUACGGAGGGUGCAAGCGUUAAUCGGAAUUACUGGGCGUAAAGCGCACGCAGGCGGUCUGUCAAGUCGGAUGUGAAAUCCCCGGGCUCAACCUGGGAACUGCAUUCGAAACUGGCAGGCUAGAGUCUUGUAGAGGGGGGUAGAAUUC